rnacentral:rRNA from 1 species
GCGGAAGGAUCAUUAUUGAAUAAACCUGAUGGGUUGCUGCUGGCCCUUCACCGGGCAUGUGCACGCCUGUCUUCUUUAUUUUUCCACCUGUGCACCACUUGUAGGCUUGAAUAGCAUUUUAAUUGGCCUUUGGGACAGCUUUGAGGAAUGCGGCCUUGGUCGCUAUUCUCUCCGAUAUUCAAGUCUAUGUUUUACUAUAYACCCAUUGUUAAACCCAGAAUGUCAUUUACAGGCCUACAAGUGUGCCUAAAACACUAUACAACUUUCAGCAACGGAUCUCUUGGCUCUCGCAUCGAUGAAGAACGCAGCGAAAUGCGAUAAGUAAUGUGAAUUGCAGAAUUCAGUGAAUCAUCGAAUCUUUGAACGCACCUUGCGCUCCUUGGUAUUCCGAGGAGCAUGCCUGUUUGAGUGUCAUUAAAUUCUCAACCCUUCGAGGUUUAUUCUYCGCUGGGCUUGGAUUUGGGGUUUUUUUGCCGGCCCUAAACGGUCGUCGGCUACCCUGAAAURUAUUAGCUGGUCUGCCCCUCUCGCGUCCAUUUGGUGUGAUAGUCUUUUGCGCCGUGGACUGUGGAUGUUUUGGGUGAUCGCUUACAACAGUCUUAAUUGACAACUAUUCUUAACCACUCUUGACCUCAAA